GAUAAUGUGAAACAAAUUCAUUAAAUUGUCAAAAUAUAAAUGGUUCACUUUCUAAACAUAUUAGAACUAAUCUCCCACUCCUAAUUUGUCAUGGAUUAAGUCAAACUGCACUCCUGCUCUCUCCCUAUUAAUAAUGAAUAGUAUGUGAUCACCCUCCACAUAUUUGUGGUACCUGUUUCAUAAAAAUACCAUAAAUUUAUCAAUACAAAACAUCUUAUCACCCUCCACAUAUUUGCAGUACCUGUUUCAUAAAAAUACCAUAAAUUUAUCAAUACAAAACAUCUUCUAAGAACAAAAAGUGCUAAUUUCAUGGACAAAUUUCCGCCCGUAUUAAGAAUUUCCAAAAUAUCAGAUUAGAAAUUAGAUGGUUUAGUAGCAUCUUUAAUGGAAUUUACU
rnacentral:lncRNA from 1 species